CGGGAAUAUUGGUCAAUGGGGGAAACCCUGAACCAGCAAUGCCGCGUGAGUGACGAAGGUUUUCGGAUCGUAAAGCUCUGUCCUUGGGGAAGAUAAUGACGGUACCCAAGAAGAAAGCCACGGCUAACUACGUGCCAGCAGCCGCGGUAAUACGUAGGUGGCAAGCGUUGUCCGGAAUUAUUGGGCGUAAAGGGCGAGUAGGCGGCCAGUUAUGUCAGAUGUGAAAGGCUAGGGCUCAACCCUAACAUGGCAUUUGAAACUGAUUGGCUUGAGAGUAGGAGAGGGAAGUGGAAUUCCUAAUGUAGCGGUGCAAUGCGUAGAUAUUAGGAGGAACACCAGUGGCGAAGGCGACUUCCUGGCCUACAACUGACGCUGAUGCGCGAAAGCGUGGGGAGCAAAC
rnacentral:rRNA from 1 species